GCCUGCCUGCCUGCCUGCCUGCCUGCCUGCCUGCCUGCCUGCCUGCCUGCCUGCCUGCCACCGGUUUUUGGUUCUGUUACCUGCUUGCCCUACUGUGUGGACUAUUGGGUGUAACAGUGUGACUGGCUUCCGAGGAGAGAACCUGCUUCAGCUGCAGUGCUGAUGUGCAGGUGUGGGGACACAGAGGAGACCUUCACUGAGUUGGGGGGAAGCAGGUGACCAGCCCCAGCAGGAGCUUUGUUCAGGACCUUUAGUGUGUGACUGACAGAUUCAGAAUCUGCAGGGUUUUAACUGCUGGUUCAGACACUGGCCUGGAUUCAAUAAACAUUUGUGCUUAACUUUGACUCGUGAGCAGCAGCGCUUACU